rnacentral:tRNA from 1 species
AGGGUUAUAGUUAAAUAUAACAUUUGAUUUGCAUUCAAAAAGUACUGACUUCAGUUUACCUUU